AUGUUUUCAGUAAUGAAAAAUACUGCUUACUCUCCCUUUCUUCCAAUCCCAAAAUCCUUAGAGCUCAAAGGCAAAAGACACUUUUUUGUCUCUGUGGACCACAUGGAUGAAGAAUGCAUAACAGUCAGCAUCAAAGGACAAAUCACAGGAACAGGAAAGUAAUUAACAGCUGAAACCAAGGGCUAGGGAAAUCUGAAUGGAGGAAUUAAGAAUGAUAGAUUUGAAAAGCAUAUAGUGAGCUUGAGUCUUCACCAUUCUGUUUUCUGUCAGGUGACUUAUUUUUUAAUACAGUAUUUUCCUUCUUCACUUCCCUUUUUCUGUUCUGAUUUUCUCUUUCUCUUGAGAAAUUCAGAUGGGAAAAUAUAGCUUAUGUACUUUUCAUUGCUCAGAUGUCUGUCUACCUAGAAGAGCUGUCAAUCUAGUAGCACAAGGUCACUAUCAGAUCUCUUCCAAAAGGUAUGAAACAAAUGUGGCCUAGUUCAACUGUGAUAUAGGGGCUUGGCUUAGAAUUACUGCUUCAAAUACUAUAGCCUGUGUAAUUCAAGAGCUCAGAGAAAUGGGGUCUUUUGCCCCAAAAGAAAUCUUACUAUUGUCUUCUUAAUUAUCUCAUCAAGACUGUCGGUCCUAUUAAGUCUCCCAGUAAACCUCCUUUCUUCAGCUAAAUUCUGAGCCAAUUUACUCCUGUACAAAAAAAAACCCAAAACCAGAAAAGCAUUUUUUGCAUAACUUUUUAUACAAACACAGUACAUGCGUUUUAGCUAUAGAACUGCAUCUGGAAGAAAAACAUUAUGAACUGAAGGCAGGAGCUAGCUCUUCUAUGCACGUGAUAGAGUGGAAAUAAAAUUUCAGAACACAAACGGUACAAGGUCGGAAGAGCUUAGGUUAAGUUUAUGGGACAGGUGGGAUUGUAGGGUAUGGUAGGACUGUAAUUUGUCUCUGCACUUUUGUACAAUCCUAAUAGCAGUUUCAUUAUUCUACAACACUACCCUACAGUCAUAUAUUUGCAGCAGUAGUAUUGCACCAUUGUCGUCUGAAAAUGAUGAAAAACACCUAACAUGACAGAUAUGCCUUAAAUAAUCUCCUAUCUUUUCCACGGAGAAAAACGUAAGUGCGAGUGCUAAAAUAUGAGCCAAAACGCAGCUUCCUGCCCUACACUAGUCAUCACUUCCAGCUUCUUCUUCACAAUCUCCCUAACAAUUCAAAUACAAAGUUAUCCUGCUGUAGCUGAUUGAGACGGAUUUUCGGUCCCCUGGCAGUGCCAAUUCACUGGCAUCUGGCCUGCAAAAGCCAAAAUCACCCGCCUCCUCUUUCCUGUACGCCCAUGCGCAGAAUACAAACUUGCCUUUCAGGUGCGGCCUCUGCCAGAGAGCAGCUUUUGCAGCCAGUACCCGGCCUUUAAAAACUGCCCUUCCUUGCGCUGAGGGUGACUGUAAUAAUACUUAAAUUAAGCUGCUGCGGUGUAAAAGGGAUGGUGAUUAGGGGAGGUUUAGGCUUGACAUGAGGAAGCAUUUCUUUACCAGGCGGGUGGUCACACGUAUGUCCGUCCACAUACAGUAAACGGCAUCGGCGCCUAGGCCGGCUGAAGAGAACAGCUGUGGUUUGGGGACCAAACCAGCCCCUUUGCCGUGGAUCCAUGAACCCGUUUUCCUCUUGGGAUGCCGCCCAGUCGCUUCAGAAGGGCCCGGGAAGCCAAGUAACCUGUUCCAACCCCGCCUGUGGUCAGACCCCACCCGCCUUCCCGCCACCCCCCGCUCCAGCACCCAACUCCGCUUUCC
ensembl:lncRNA